GAAUCCCGUCUUUGACACGGACUGCCUGCAUGUUAUGGUGCGCUCUCAAAGAGUCGAGUUGUUUGGGAAUGCAGCUCAAAAUGGGUGGUAAAUGCCAUCUAAAGCUAAAUAUUGGCGAGAGACCGAUAGCGAACAAGUACCGUGAGGGAAAGAUGAAAAGAACUUUGGAAAGAGAGUUAAACAGUACGUGAAAUUGCUGAAAGGGAAACGCUUGAAGUCAGUCGCGUCGGCUAGAAAUCAACCUUGCUUUUGCUUGGUGUACUUUCUUGUUGAUGGGUCAGCAUCAAUUUUGACCGUUGGAUAAAGUCGUUGGGAAUGUGGCAUCUUAGGAUGUGUUAUAGCCCAUCGUCGCAUACAGCGGUUGGGAUUGAGGAACUCAGCACGCCCUUCUGGGGACGGGUUUCGACCACGUUUCGUGCUUAGGAUGCUGGCAUAAUGGCUUUAAUCGACCCGUCUUGAAACACGGACCAAGGAGUCUAACAUGCCUGCGAGUGUUUGGGUGGAAAACCCAUGCGCGCAAUGAAAGUGAAAGUUGAGAUCCCCUCAAGGGGAGCAUCGACGCCCGGACCAGAGCUUCUGUGACGGAUCCGCGGUAGAGCAUGUAUGUUGGGACCCGAAAGAUGGUGAACUAUGCCUGAAUAGGGUGAAGCCAGAGGAAACUCUGGUGGAGGCUCGUAGCGAUUCUGACGUGCAAAUCGAUCGUCAAAUUUGGGUAUAGGGGCGAAAGACUAAUCGAACCAUCUAGUAGCUGGUUCCUGCC
rnacentral:rRNA from 1 species